rnacentral:rRNA from 1 species
CUCGUAGACUCCUACGGGAGGCAGCAGUAGGGAAUUUUCCGCCAAUGGACGAAAGUCUGACGGAGCAAUGCCGCGUGAGUGAUGAAGGUUUCGAAUCGUAAAGCUCUGUUGUAAGGGAAGAAUAGCAGUGAGUAGGAAAUGACUACUGUGUGACGGUACCUUACCAGAAAGCCACGGCUAACUACGUGCCCAGCAGCGCGGUAAUACGUAGGUGGCAAAGCGUUAUCCGGAAUUAUUGGGCGUAAAGCGCAUGUAGGCGGCUCUUUAAGUCUGAUGUGAAAGCCUGUGGCUCAACCACAGAAUUGCAUUGGAUACUGGAGAGCUAGAAUCUUGGAGAGGUAAGUGGAAUUUCAUGUGUAGCGGUGGAAUGCGUAGAUAUAUGAAGGAACACCAAUGGCGAAGGCAGCUUACUGGACAAGUAUUGACGCUGAGAUGCGAAAGUGUGGGUAGCAAACAGGAUUAGAUACCCUGGUAG